UACGGAGGGUGCGAGCGUUAUCCGGAUUUACUGGGUUUAAAGGGUGUGUAGGCGGGCUGGUAAGUCAGGGGUGAAAUCCCGGAGCUCAACUCCGGAACUGCCUUUGAAACUAGAUAGCUAGAAUCUUGGAGAGGCGAGUGGAAGUUCCGAGUGUAGAGGUGAAAUUCGUAGAUAUUCGGAAGAACACCAGUGGCGAAGGCGACUCGCUGGACAAGUAUUGACGCUGAGGUGCGAAAGCGUGGGGAGCAAACAGG
rnacentral:rRNA from 1 species